UACAGUGCCUUUACACUGAUAGCAGGACUACCUUCUAAUAUUCUUCACUCUCAUCAUUUUCCACGCACCAACAAAAGGUCAAACCAAAAAUCAGUUGAAGUUGAACACCAAAUCUGCAGUGCCAUGGCUUCUAUUUCUAAAAGGACAGCAAGUGCUCAGUCCUUUGUCUCUGAUCCACUACUUCAAAUGCCCAAAAUAACACAGAUCUGUCUUUUUUUGUUGUUUCCUUACACCCUUUUUGUCUCCUUUUGUUUCUUCCAACAAACCCAAAAACAUGUCAUUUUCUUGAUACUUAGGUUAGCUAGCUUGUUUGAAAAAUCAAAUCACUAACAAAAGUCCUCAGUGUGGUAAUUGUUGAUUCCUUUCUUUUUUAUCUUCAAUUUUUUUGUGGGGUUUCGAAAAAAAAAGAAGUUCAAGAUUGGAAUUUGUCAGCUGAAAGUUACAACAGAGAAGAAUGUUAACAUUCUAAAUGCUCAUAAUCUAAUUCAAGUUGCUGCAGAACAAGGUGCAAGUCUUAUACUUUUGCCUGAAAUGUGGAAUUGCCCGUAUUCAACUGACAUGUUCCCAAAGUUUGCUGAGGACUUCAAUGAUAUAGACAGCGCCCCGUCAUUUCUUAUGUUAUCUGAAGUGGCUUCUUCUUUAGGAGUCACAAUUAUCGGGGGAUCAAUUCCGGAAAAGGAUGCUGGUCAGCUGUACAAUACUUGCGCUGUGUUUGGACCUAAGGGCGAGUUAAAAGCUAAGCACAGGAAAAUACAUUUGUUUGACAUGGGUAAGCCACUUCCAGGAGAAGUUCAAUUUAAGGAAUCAGACAGCAUUUCAGCAGGAGAUAAGCCUACAGUUGUUGACACAGAUUUUGGUUGCAUUGGAAUAGGAAUUUGUCAUGAUAUUCGAUUUCCUGAACUGGCAAUGUCGUAUAGUGCCAGAGGUGCUCAUCUAAUAUGUUACCCUGGAGCAUUCAACAUGAGUACUGGGGCGGCCCUGUGGGAGCUGGAGCAAAGAACAAGGGCAGUAGAUAACCAGCUUUAUGUGGCAUCUUGCUCCCCAUCUCGAGAUUCAGCCAGUAGCUACAUAAUAUGGGGUCACUCUACUUUGGUUGGACCGAGAUCUAUCUUUGUUUUUCUGGUGAGCAGAUGGGUGAAAUAAUUGCAACCACAGGGCAUGAGGAAGCAGUUCUAGUUGCUGAUAUUGAUUAUGCUGCAAUUCAACUGGCAAGGGAAAGCUUCCCUUUAAAGAGCCAGAGGCGCGACGACAUCUAUCAAUUUGUAGACUUGCUUGGAUAGAAGUGCUAAGAGGCUUUAAGAGUAGGGCAUUUUGAUCAGAUUGCAUAUCAUGGCCAAAUGAAGUUCUGAAAUGAGAUUCUGCAGGAGUUCUUCAUCACCAAGAAAAUGCUUUGCUAGUUUUGUUGGCAACCAGUGCUUGUAUCUUUUUUUAUGCUUAUUCCAAGAGGCAUUUGUUAACAAGUUUGAUAAUAUUUGGCAUUUCAUCAAAGAUUAUUUUGACAAGAUUACCAGGGUUUCAAUAUCUCAAUAAAAUAGUGGCUUAUCAUA